UUUUCAAAACUUUCCUUCUAAAACAUUUCAUUUUCUUUUUUGUUUUGAAACUUUCUCUCUUCCAUUCUUCAUCUCCUAAAGCUUUCCUAAUCUGGUUCACAUACCCAAUCGUACCUUUUUUGCUCUUCGACAUACUCAAAGACCUCCAUUUCCAGGAAUCUCCUUCAAAGAUGAUUGACUGCCAUCCAUUUUCGACUCCUAUUUGAACUGAUUUCCAACACGCUAUUGCUUCAGCAGCAAAUGCAGAGGUUAUGUCAUUGUGGAUCUCUGAACAGGAUAAAAGAACUUUUCCUUCCGCAUCUCUGGCCACAAUACCUGAAGCUGAACGGUUCUGACUCUCAUUGUAUGCACCGUCGAAUUUAAUCUUGAUGAACUCACAAUUGCGUAGCAGAAAAGGCGACCUUGACAAGGGGUGAGCUGUUCAAACACCCAAGUAAGCCACUGUACGAAGUCUAUGCUCUGAUUCAUUAUAAUAUUCUGAAGUGAUAGUUGUAAUAAGCCAAUUUGCCCGGCCCGUAAACCAAAUCAAAAUAUAAACCAAAUAAAAAUUAAUAACAGUCCAGAAAUAGUCCAUAUACAUAGGCCCAAAUUGUUUUUAACCCACUAGCCUAUCCUAAUUUCCUCAAUCCAGUUAGCCUAACACUUAACCCGGGCCCAAGGCACAACGCAACCCAAAACAAAAAUCAGAAGCAGGAAACACUAGAAAACCCUAAGCGCCGCAUGACUGCACAACCAGCACACUCCCCUCUCGUGCGUGCGCCACCACACCUUCGAGCCGCUCCUCACACGCGCCUCUGUACGAUCAUGUACCUGCAAAGGACAAAAGAAACGAGCAACAAAACAGAGAAAAGGGGAAACAGAGGGGAUGGGGAGAGGAUUUUUCUUUUUAUUUUAUUUUUUUUAUUUUCUUUGUAAUGCUGGCCAUAAAAAAGGGCCAUUCGAAUAUUGUAAAGGACCACGCAUUCAGAAUAGAAAAAAAAGGUGAUUUUGAAUCCCA